rnacentral:rRNA from 1 species
CACGUAGGGCGCAAGCGUUGUCCGGAAUUAUUGGGCGUAAAGAGCUCGUAGGCGGACUGUUGCGUCUGCUGUGAAAAGCUGGGGCUUAACCCUGGCCUUGCAGUGGAUACGGGCAGACUAGAGGUAGGUAGGGGAGAAUGGAAUUCCCGGUGUAGCGGUGAAAUGCGCAGAUAUCGGGAGGAACACCGGUGGCGAAGGCGGUUCUCUGGGCCUUACCUGACGCUGAGGAGCGAAAGCGUGGGGAGCGAACAG